rnacentral:rRNA from 1 species
CCUACGGGUGGCUGCAGUGAGGAAUAUUGGUCAAUGGGCGAGAGCCUGAACCAGCCAAGUCGCGUGAAGGAUGACGGCCCUACGGGUUGUAAACUUCUUUUGUCAGGGAGCAAUUUGGUCCACGCGUGGGCUUAGCGAGAGUACCUGAAGAAAAAGCAGCGGCUAACUCCGUGCCAGCAGCCGCGGUAAUACGGAGGAUGCGAGCGUUAUCCGGAUUUAUUGGGGUUAAAGGGUGCGUAGGCGGACUAUCAAGUCAGCGGUAAAAAUUCGGGGCGCAACCCCGUCGUGCCGUUGAAACUGAUGGUCUUGAGUGUGCGAGAACUAGUCGGCAUGCGUGGUGUAGCGGUGAAAUGCAUAGAUAUCACGCAGAACUCCGAUUGCGCAGGCAGCAUACCGGCGCCCAACUGACGCUGACGCACGACCGCGUGGGUAUCGAACAGGAUUAGAUACCCUUGUAGUC